GAUGAACGCUGGCGGCGUGCCUAAUACAUGCCAGUCGAGCGAACAGACGAGGAGCUUGCUCCUCUGACGUUAGCGGCGGACGGGUGAGUAACACGUGGAUAACCUACCUAUAAGACUGGGAUAACUUCGGGAAACCGGAGCUAAUACCGGAUAAUAUAUUGAACCGCAUGGUUCAAUAGUGAAAGACGGUUUUGCUGUCACUUAUAGAUGGAUCCGCGCCGCAUUAGCUAGUUGGUAAGGUAACGGCUUACCAAGGCAACGAUGUGUAGCCGACCUGAGAGGGUGAUCGGCCACACUGGAACUGAGACACGGUCCAGACUCCUACGGGAGGCAGCAGUAGGGAAUCUUCCGCAAUGGGCGAAAGCCUGACGGAGCAACGCCGCGUGAGUGAUGAAGGUCUUCGGAUCGUAAAACUCUGUUAUUAGGGAAGAACAAAUGUGUAAGUAACUAUGCACGUCUUGACGGUACCUAAUCAGAAAGCCACGGCUAACUACGUG
rnacentral:rRNA from 1 species